AAAUUGAAGAGUUUGAUCAUGGCUCAGAUUGAACGCUGGCGGCAGGCCUAACACAUGCAAGUCGAACGGUAACAGAAAGCAGCUUGCUGCUUUGCUGACGAGUGGCGGACGGGUGAGUAAUGUCUGGGAAACUGCCUGAUGGAGAGGGAUAACUACUGGAAACGGUAGCUAAUACCGCAUAACGUCGCAAGACCAAAGAGGGGGACCUUCGGGCCUCUUGCCAUCGGAUGUGCCCAGAUGGGAUUAGCUAGUAGGUGGGGUAACGGCUCACCUAGGCGACGAUCCCUAGCUGGUCUGAGAGGAUGACCAGCCACACUGGAACUGAGACACGGUCCAGACUCCUACGGGAGGCAGCAGUGGGGAAUAUUGCACAAUGGGCGCAAGCCUGAUGCAGCCAUGCCGCGUGUAUGAAGAAGGCCUUCGGGUUGUAAA
rnacentral:rRNA from 1 species